rnacentral:tRNA from 1 species
GUGAACGGCCUCAGUUCUGCUUUGCAAGCAGGGGGUCGUGGGUUCGAGUCCCAUCGUCUCCA